rnacentral:lncRNA from 1 species
CAUCUGUGUGAUGCUAUUGCUGCUGAAUUCCUCUGCUUGUUUUGUCAGGCUGCUUCGAGGCUGCUGUAAAAUGUGUCCGACAUCCUUGCUUGAGAAAGCCCCAUGUUGAAACCACGCUUUCGUCUUCACUGAGGAUCUGGAGCAGCUCUCAGCUGUUCACGCUGAUGACACAGAGCGAGCAAAACGGAGCCCAGGGUCUUAUGGAAAGCAGGCAGCGUCCGCUUGAGCCGGCGGGAAUGCAAUACGUGGACGAGAUCACACUUAACAACCCUGCUCUUCCUUGAAAUAAAAGAUAAAUAACAGA